UGUCAGCUAAGUGGCGGACGGGUGAGUAAUGUAUAGUUAAUUUGCCCCUUAGAGGGGGAUAACAGUUGGAAACGACUGCUAAUACCCCAUACUCCUUUAUAGUUAAUCUAUAUUGGGAAAGUUUUUUCGCUAAGGGAUAAGACUAUAUGGUAUCAGGUAGUUGGUAGGGUAAGAGCCUACCAAGCCUAUGACGCCUAGCUGGUCUGAGAGGAUGAUCAGCCACACUGGAACUGAGACACGGUCCAGACUCC
rnacentral:rRNA from 1 species